rnacentral:pre_miRNA from 1 species
GAUGGAGGAUUCCAAAGGGAUCGCAUUGAUCUGAUAACAUAAACACGGCUUGAUAAAACUGGUUUUGUUUUUUGGAUCAUGUGAUCCCUUAGGAAUUUUCCAU